rnacentral:rRNA from 1 species
CCUACGGGAGGCUGCAGUAGGGAAUAUUGCACAAUGGAGGAAACUCUGAUGCAGCGACGCCGCGUGAGUGACGAAGGCCUUCGGGUUGUAAAGCUCUGUUCUUAGGGAAAAAGAAAGUGAUUGUACCUAAGGAGAAAGGACCGGCUAACUUCGUGCCAGCAGCCGCGGUAAGACGAGGGGUCCAAGCGUUGUUCGGAAUCAUUGGGCGUAAAGCGGGUGUAGGUGGCUCUGUAAGUCAGGAGUGAAAGCCCCGAGCUUAACUCGGGAAGUGCUUUUGAUACUGCAGAGCUUGAGUGUGGGAGAGGAUCGUGGAAUUCCAGGUGUAGUGGUGAAAUACGUAGAUAUCUGGAGGAACACCGGUGGCGAAGGCGGCGAUCUGGCCCAACACUGACACUGAGACCCGAAAGCAUGGGGAUCAAACAGGAUUAGAUACCCUGGUA